AAAAGUGUUUGAUCUUCUUUAGAUUUUAGUGUUCUUUCUCUCUGGACAAAGAAGACGAAGGUGUUUCCGUCACCUCUCUGCUCUUCUUUCUCCAAUCAAGCUCUGUUCGUCUCGUCUCUGGUCAAGAAGAAGAUGAAGUUCUGCUCGAAUCAUCUCCUCUCUGCACCUAUUUGUCUUUGGAAAAGAAGAAGAAGAACCCAGUUCCUCCACGACCUCCCUGUCAAUUUUCUGUUCCUUCACGACCUCCCUGUGUACGCACUCAGCAACCCGUCGGAGGAAUUCUUGCUGGUUGUCAGAGCCUCUACAGGCAAGAACCUCGACCUUUUCUGCUUUAACAAAGACGACGUCCAAGCCCUACUUUGCCAGGUUUCCACGGCCGACCCUCGCCUGCGUGACGGCUCCAAAGUUGUCUUGCGCUCAACAAGAAUGGAUCCUCCAACAGGCACUUAAGAUCUCCAUUACUUAUGAAGCCAGCCAGUAGAAUUCAUUCGAGAGCUGCAGCUGCAUUUCCCUCUGAUGCAUGUAAGCGAUUGGAUUUUUCUGCCAUAGGAAAAAAGUGCAUUCUGUUGAGAGUAAUUUUCAGAAACGAGAAGAGGAAAAUGUAGAAUCACUUGUGAAGCUACUGGUUGAUUGCAUCUUGGAAGCCAAAGAAAAUAUUGAUGAAAACUUUGCUGCUUCUCUUCAUAAUAAAAACAUGGAAAGACAUUAUAACAUAUGACAUUUAUGUUCAAAUGGUCAAGAUUUACAAUGAACAAGUUAGAGAUUAGGAGCUGCAAUGAUGAUGAAUUGAGUCUUCCUUAUGCUAUAUUAUGUCUAGUGACAUCUACAGCUGAUGUUCUGACUUUCAUGAAACUUAGUGAGGUCAACAGUGCUGUCAGUUCUGCUGCACUUAACAAUAGAAGUAGUCGUUCCCACAGAUAAGUUUCAAAAUUUUUUCAAACCUUAUAACUUAAAUUUAAAUGUUUAAUACAGAUACUGAUAAUAAAGGCUGUUUAAUUCAGUGUACUCACCGUGUAUGUUCACGGAAAAGAUACAUAGAAUUCAUGAAUCCGGGUCGAAUCGCAUAUCUUCGCUAGAAGGGAACCAGUACCGUAUGAGAAGGAGAGAAAUGCUAGAACACCUCCUCCGGCAGCGGCAAGGACUUCAAAACGGUGGUUGUAGGAAGACUUCAAGAGCCAAAUAUCAAUGCUGGGGUGGUUGCUUUGACUGAAAGCAACCCCAAUAGCUCCAAGCCUCCAAUUUAGUAUUCUUUCUUUUUUUGUUUUCUUUUUUUCUUCUGCGUUUCUUAUAGAAUCUUGGUGAUUUGACAAAUAGCUUUAUUUAACUGACGAUCUAUGCUAAAAUUUGGUCUAAGGUAGUCUAUUUGUUGUAUUGCCAUUCUUAUAUACUUUCUGUGCAUCUAUGUAUGAGUUGCUAUGAAAUUAUCCACUAUUUUGCAUUUAAUGAUUAAUUUUUGGAUCAGUUUUCUUAUGACUUGCAGAUUAACUUCAUUCGUUAAUUUUGUGAUGAAGGAUUUCGUUGGAAAUCUUAAAGACCAGAAAGUUGUAUAUUACCACCGUUUACUAAUAAUUGUCAGUUUAGCAAAAUUAGAACAUUCUACUUUCACAAAUCAACAUACUACCUUUACUUAUGAUUGUACUACUUAUUUAUGCACUGCUUAUAGAUUUCAACUUUGGUCAUUUGCCAAGCUUCAUGUCUAAUCAUUUAAUUACUUCUACUGGUGAUAAAAUAUUCUGGUUGUCUAUAUUUUUGUAUAUAUAUAUAUACAUGUUUCUAUCAUUAGUAUGCGUCUACUGGAAAAUUUAUGAGAUUACAUUUAUUGAAGUUCUGAAAUUGAUGUUAUAAUUUGUUGUGUACCAUAUACUAGUUAUUUUAUUCGUUUGAUCAAAUUUAAGCUUGAUUUUUGUGUUGAGUUUUAGGAUUCUGAAGCUCAUACUUCACAUUCAGUUGGUUUAUUGUGUAGUAAAUAGAACAUUUUUAUAUUUAUGGAUUAGUGUAGUUUGCAUGUUAUUUCUACUUAUCCGCCUAUAAUCACUGACAAAAAUGCAAGAAAACCCUUAGUUUUAUGUACAAUGUGACAUUUAUUUGCAUGUGGUUGUUAAGGGCUUUAUCCCCUACAUCUAAUCAGGAUAGAGAAGUAUGUUGUUGGUAGAUUUUUAGUUCUUAUUGUGGUUCUAAUAUAUGGUAAACUUUUGAUUGUAUCUUCAAAUAUUAUUCAUAAGUUACAGAAAAAAGAUUUAAUGGUUAUAGGCUACUCCCAAUGGAGUUGUGACUCUACCAGGUUGAGUACAUUUUUAUGAUAAACACAUGUUUACUCUUAACUCUUGCAUUUCUUUGCCAAAAUCAUCCAGGUUCCUCAUAAGAUGACCAGUUUCACAGGUUCAAAGAGGUUCAGUUUCGUUCUCUUCUAGCUCUUAUAAAUCAAAAAAUACUCGAGGGUACAAAAUGAACUAAGGGCAUAAACACUAUUUACAAAUGUUAACAAACAACAGCAAAGCCUUAUUACAUAAACUAAACGACUUAAAAUAAACACAUAAUUAUAUAAAAUAAUGCUAACCAGAGUCUAUAGUCUGCGAGUGUAUGGCUCCAAAAUCAGAAAGAUGAAUAUUUGAGUGAGAGUAAAAGCAAGGUAGUGAAUGUAAUAAUGCAGGAGGAAGAGUCUAUAGUCUGCGAGUGUAUGGCUCCAAAAUCAGAAAGAUGAAUAUUUGAGUGAGAGUAAAAGCAAGGUAGUGAAUGUAAUAAUGCAGGAGGAAGCUUAAAGAAAGAAGAAAUGACGCAAUGUAAUCAAUAUUAUGAAAGUUAGUACCUUGAUAUAUAGGCACGCCACCAAGUAUGAGGGUAUGGGUAGUGUUACAAGUUCAGCCUUCAAAGAAAAUCGAAUCUCAUGAAUGCAGCCUCCUCCUCCUUCUUCUUCUUAUGCCGCUACUUCAUUCACUGCACUGAAGCCACUGAGCAUACCGAAGUAGUAGCAAUUAUUGAAUAGCUACUACUUUUAAAUUUUUAUUUAUUUAUAUAUAUUUUAUUUGGAAAUUUAGUAUUGUGCGUCUCAAAGUGUGGUUAUUUAAAAUGACGUUGGCAUGAGAAACCAUGAUGCUUUACUUAAUUGUAUGGUAAUUUUUCUUUUUUUUUCCCUUUUGUAUUUUAGGGGUAAGAGAAUAACUUCAAACGGACGAAAGGAUCUUGACCAAGUUGCUGGAAAAACUUUGGUUGCUCCUUGAGAAUGGCAUCAUGCUAUUAAGAACUGAUGGUGAUCCUCUAUUAGGAUUUAAUUUUGUUCUGGAGACAAUAUUUUUUUUCACCUGUCUAUAUCCAUUUUAGUUUGGAGUUUUGAGUGAGGCUUUUGUUUAAUAUUACCGUGUUAUCACGUGUAAGACUGAAACAGACGGAGUUAUUGAUUUUCAUGAAAAGAGUUAUGCA